UCCAUGGGAUCUCAGAGGAUGAGCCCUGGACCAGUAACAUGAGCAAACCCAUCACUCAGAAUGUCAGUGACCAGAUCUGGGGAAAGGCAGAGUCCUAUCAGCACAGUAUCCAGUCUGCCACCUUCCUUUAUGAGAUCCCUGCUGGGGAAAGCCAUGCUGUAUGGUUUGCUGGUCAGUGCCCUGGUGUGGAGAGCCAUGG